CUGGUUGAUCCUGCCAGUAGUCAUAUGCUUGUCUCAAAGAUUAAGCCAUGCAUGUCUAAGUACAAGCCUCACUAAGGUGAAACCGCGAAUGGCUCAUUAAAUCACACCUAAUGUACUGGAUAGUCUCAGUUACUUGGAUAACUGCGGUAAUUCUGGAGCUAAUACAUGCAAACGAUGCCCGACUCACGAGGGCUGCUUUUAUUAGAUCAAAACCAAAGGGCUUCGGCCGUGUUUUUGGUGAUUCUGAAUAACUUUGGGCUGAUCGCACGGUCAUGCACCGGCGACGUAUCCUUCCAAGGUGUGCCCUAUCAACUGUCGACUGUGGCAUAGACGCCCACAGUGGUUUUGACGGGUAACGGGGAAUUAGGGUUCGAUUCCGGAGAGGGAGCCUGAGAAACGGCUACCACUUCUACGGAAGGCAGCAGGCACGCAAAUUACCCACUGGCCGAAGGCCGAGGUAGUGUGAAAAAUAACGAUACCGGACUCAUCCGAGGCCCGGUAAUCGGAAUGAGUACACUUUAAAUCCUUUAACGAGGAACAAUUGGAGGGCAAGUCUGGUCUGGCAGGAUCAACCAG
rnacentral:rRNA from 1 species